UGGGGAAUAUUGCACAAUGGGCGCAAGCCUGAUGCAGCCAUGCCGCGUGUAUGAAGAAGGCCUUCGGGUUGUAAAGUACUUUCAGCGGGGAGGAAGGGAGUAAAGUUAAUACCUUUGCUCACUGACGUUACCCGCAGAAGAAGCACCGGCUAACUCCGUGCCAGCAGCCGCGGUAAUACGGAGGGUGCAAGCGUUAAUCGGAAUUACUGGGCGUAAAGCGCACGCAGGCGGUUUGUUAAGUCAGAUGUGAAAUCCCCGGGCUCAACCUGGGAACUGCAUCUGAUACUGGCAAGCUUGAGUAUAGUAGAGGGGGGUAGAAUUCCAGGUGUAGCGGUGAAAUGCGUAGAGAUCUGGAGGAAUACCGGUGGCGAAGGCGGCCCCCUGGACGAAGACUGACGCUCAGGUGCGAAAGCGUGGGGAGCAAACAGG
rnacentral:rRNA from 1 species